rnacentral:rRNA from 1 species
GAGUUUGAUCCUGGCUCAGGACGAACGCUGGCGGCGUGCCUAAUACAUGCAAGUCGAGCGAGGGUCUUCGGACCCUAGCGGCGGACGGGUGAGUAACACGUAGGCAACCUGCCCGUAAGACCGGGAUAACAUAGGGAAACUUAUGCUAAUACCGGAUAGGGCGUUCUCUCGCAUGAGAGAAUGCGGAAAGGUGGCACAAGCUACCACUUACGGAUGGGCCUGCGGCGCAUUAGCUAGUUGGUGGGGUAACGGCCUACCAAGGCGACGAUGCGUAGCCGACCUGAGAGGGUGACCGGCCACACUGGGACUGAGACACGGCCCAGACUCCUACGGGAGGCAGCAGUGGGGAAUUUUUCGCAAUGGGGGAAACCCUGACGAAGCAACGCCGCGUGGGGGAUGAAGGUCCUCGGAUUGUAAACCCCUGUCGACCGGGACGAAAGCUGCUGGUCCUAAUACGACCGACAGUCGACUGUACCGGUGGAGGAAGCCACGGCUAACUCUGUGCCAGCAGCCGCGGUAAUACAGAGGUGGCAAGCGUUGUUCGGAAUUACUGGGCGUAAAGGGCGCGUAGGCGGCCCUGUAAGUCCCGCGUGAAAGCCCUCGGCUCAACCGAGGAACUGCGCGGGAGACUGCAAGGCUUGAGUUCGGGAGAGGGAAGUGGAAUUCCGGGUGUAGCGGUGAAAUGCGCAGAUAUCCGGAGGAACACCGGUGGCGAAGGCGGCUUCCUGGACCGACACUGACGCUGAGGCGCGAAAGCUAGGGGAGCAAACGGGAUUAGAUACCCCGGUAGUCCUA